rnacentral:rRNA from 1 species
GGAUUGANAUGGGGGCACCCUGAUCCAGCAAUGCCGCGUGUGUGAAGAAGGCCUUCGGGUUGUAAAGCACUUUUGUCCGGAAAGAAAACUUCGUCCCUAAUAUGGAUGGAGGAUGACGGUACCGGAAGAAUAAGCACCGGCUAACUACGUGCCAGCAGCCGCGGUAAUACGUAGGGUGCGAGCGUUAAUCGGAAUUACUGGGCGUAAAGCGUGCGCAGGCGGUUUGUUAAGACCGAUGUGAAAUCCCCGGGCUCAACCUGGGAACUGCAUUGGUGACUGGCAAGCUUUGAGUAUGGCAGAGGGGGGUAGAAUUCCACGUGUAGCAGUGAAAUGCGUAGAGAUGUGGAGGAAUACCGAUGGCGAAGGCAGCCCCCUGGGCCAAUACUGACGCUCAUGCACGAAAGCGUGGGGAGCAAACAGGGUUAGAUACCCUGGUAGUCCACGCCCUAAACGAUGUCAACUAGUUGUUGGGGAUUCAUUUCCUUAGUAACGUAGCUAACGCGUGAAGUUGACCGCCUGGGGAGUACGGUCGCAAGAUUAAAACUCAAAAAAAUUGACGGA